rnacentral:rRNA from 1 species
GUGGGGAAUAUUGGACAAUGGGCGAAAGCCUGAUCCAGCAAUGCCGCGUGAGUGAUGAAGGCCUUAGGGUUGUAAAGCUCUUUUACCAGGGAUGAUAAUGACAGUACCUGGAGAAUAAGCUCCGGCUAACUCCGUGCCAGCAGCCGCGGUAAUACGGAGGGAGCUAGCGUUGUUCGGAAUUACUGGGCGUAAAGCGCGCGUAGGCGGCUCAGCAAGUCAGGGGUGAAAUCCCGGGGCUCAACCCCGGAACUCCCUUUGAAACUGCUAGGCUAGAAUCCUGGAGAGGCGAGUGGAAUUCCGAGUGUAGAGGUGAAAUUCGUAGAUAUUCGGAAGAACACCAGUGGCGAAGGCGACUCGCUGGACAGGUAUUGACGCUGAGGUGCGAAAGCGUGGGGAGCAAACAGGAUUAGAUACCCCUGUAGUCC